rnacentral:lncRNA from 13 species
CUCAAACUCUUGAGCUCAAGGGAUUCUCCCACCUCAGCCUCCUAAGUGGCUGGGACUUCAGAUUGGUUCUAGUUUUCAUUGUUUUUCUCUUCAUUACUGGGAUCACGAACUUAGCUGCCUAAUUACCAUUCAGGAUUACAACAAUGUCUACAGAAAGUGGGCUAUGGUGUCUUGCUCUGUUGCCCAGGCUGGAGUGAAGUGGUGUGAUCACUACUCACUGCAGUCUCGACCUCCUGGGCUCACGCAAUCUUCCCACAUCAGCCUCUCAAGAAGCUAGGACAAC